rnacentral:lncRNA from 1 species
CUCAUACCUAUAUUCAUGUGCUGCAAGCAGAUGGCUGAUUGCUUUUCUGUCCUCUCACACUGCAGUCCUGUUCCUUUAGAUCCUCUCUCUCUGUAGAGAGAGGCAUGUUGUGAGGUCAGUUUUCUGACAAGGUCAUCUGCCUUCAGUGCAUGAAGAGAACUACACGGAAAGUGGGUUGGGCUAUAUUUAGAGUUUGGUCCAACUCCGUGCCAAGGUCCCCCCGCUGUCUCUCCCAUGCAGCACUGUCUCAGGUUUAUUCCUGUAGAGUCUCAGCCCACAGAAUAAACGAAGGGAGAAAAGCCAUUCUGAGCUACUACUUACCGGAGCUGGGUUUUUGCAUUUCAGUAGAACAAGUGGAUCAGGAGCUCAGAUGAGAAUUCCUUGAAUCCCUUGCUCUCUUAUUAUUUAAAGUCUUUUUUUUUUUUCCUUUAUUCAAGUGGAUUUUCCCUUUUGAAGUGAAUAAGCAGAGGGAAUUGCCUGGGAUACAGCAGAAAUAAGCCUCCUGAGCUGAGGAUGUUUGUAAUUCCGGGCAGCAGUGCUACUUCCCACAGCGUGAGAAAGACCAUGGCAACUUGGCAGGACUGCUACCUGCUCAGUUCCCAAAAUGAAUACAUCUGCCAGAACAUUCAGGUUUCCAGCCUGUGAUGCUCCAGCAGAUUCAUAUUACAAAAGAGACGAUUCUGGACACGACAAAGGAAAUUUAGGGAAAUAUCCCUAACUAUCAAGAGAAGAGAUCUGUACUGGUAAAGUCAGAGGGCAUCUGUAGAUUCCUCCGCCUCCUCCUUCUCCAAACAAUCCUUCUGCUCUCAGAGUACGUUGCAAAUGAUCGAGUCCAUGGAAUAAUGAAACUGAUUGUCUCAGUCAGCUCUCCACAGACAUGAGUUCACAAGAGAGGCAGCCUUGCAGCUUCCUCAGACAUUCGUAAAGACUUUUGAUCUUUCUUUGAAGGAACUUUUCUCAGGAUAUUUAAAAGCCUGUGGUUUAUUUUCAUGUGUGGAGAAAAGCAAUGCUGAGAGAACCCUCCCACACAAAGAACCGUCUCAACAAAGCUAUGCUUGUCAGAAACACCCUUGAAGAAAAUUAACAUAUACUGACUUUGAAGGUAUGGUCCUGGUAGUCCUCACUGUGGUCUCUAUAGCCCACUGUAUGGGUUCCAUGCAAAUAUCCAGCAGAACAAAAAUGAGUAAAAUGGAACUGGAGAUGGCUUCUCUUUUUUGCCCAGAGAGGCUGUGGAUGCUCCAUCCUCGGAGGUGUUCAAGACCAGGUAGAAUGAGGCCCUGGGCAAACUGAUCUAGUACCAGGUCUGGAGGUUGAUGGCCCUUCCUGUGGCAGGGGAGUUGGAACUUGAUGAUCUUCGUGAUCCCUUCCAACCCUAGCCAUUCUAUGAUUCUAUGAUGAUUCUACGGCCAAAAGGCUUAAGAAGUUUGGGUUUCGGAUACCCAGACUGUGGGGUAACAACAUAACUAACACCAGACAAUACGCAAUUGAUAAUUCUUGCUUAUCUUGCUUUCACUAGAUAAACCUUGAAAACAAAGUACUUCAAUUCAUUUACUGUUCUUUUGUUUAGGAAGAUCAUUCGUGUUUCCCUCAAGCAACAAGCAGAGAAUUACACAGACAUGCACUAAGUACACAAAUUCUAAAACACUGUGUGCAUACACAAACACACACACACACACACACACACACACAUUGAAAUAAAAGAAAUGCCCUUAGUUUUUCCCUCUUCUGUUGCACACAGCUAUUAUAGCUGAUAAUACCAUAACACUGUAUUUCUUCAAUUAGAUAGCAUUUGGAGAGUUGUGAUUAUAUGCUGUUUUUGAAACGAAAUCACACCACGUUACCAGCAUGUUUGGGGGCUCAGAAGAACAUGGUUUGUCACAAGCCCUUCUCUGCCAGGGUCAUGGUCCAAUCAGAAUGGAAGGACACCAUAUUAUAGAAGAUAGACUGGCCACUGAAGUCAUGUUGGUACACACACAUACACUUGUGUAGGAAAAGUUCAUUGCUGAAGACAGAGAUGCAAAAGAUGCACUGGAAGAGAUUUGUCAUGCUAAUAAAAAUAUUUUAAGAAAACCACUGAAUUGACAAUAUUCUAAUUCUGUCUAGAUUAAAACAGAACAUAAUGACUGUCCAACUUGGAGGAAAAUGACAGGUUUUCGGGAGAGGGAACUCUAUAAAAAGCGGAUAUAUAUAUAUAUAAUUUGAUGAUACAAAACUAACCUUGAAAUAUUCAUAAAAUUAUCACAAAAUGAUGGCACUUUGGCUGUAUCACGUCUGCAGAAGGCAUCAAAGGAACUGUGGCAAUAACCUACAUUGUCAGGGCACUGGGAAUAGCUGCUUUUGCAGGCUUCUUGUUUACUACAAGUACCUGCCAGCUGUGAGACGAGCAAAUACAUUGAGCAUUUAGAGAGUCUUGUCACUGUGAAAUUUCCCCUGGAUCUUAAACUCUAUCAAAACUGUCACAGAUUUGUACACCUUAAUUCCACUGCGGAGACAUCACCUUAAAGUACAUUUGUACAAUGUUUGGUAGAAAGAGAUAGUAAUUUUGACCAGGACUUCUAUGGGAUUUCAUUUUUUAAGUCUCUAGCAGGAACAGGGAACAGGAAAACUUAAAAGAAUAAACCAUAGGUACAGUUCCUCUAUGGCAGUGGGGCUAAGCACUUGGUCUAUCUGAGAGUUCCCUUCUCAACCACUGCCAAUUCCAGUCAAGCCAGAGGGACAGGACAAGAGAGCUCAAAGACAAAGACACUUCCCCAAGUUCAGGAAGACUGGAGCCUGAAGAAAGAGACAAGAAACUGCCACAGUGAGCAAAAACUGAAACGUUGGGUUCAGCCCCAGCCACAGUAGCUGCUGCCUUAGCCUUAGUGCACUCCUGGGAGCUGUGUGGAGAGCUGAGGGUUUGUGAAUGGCAGAGGAGAGUGCUGAGGAUGCAGUAGGAACGUGGGGCUGUUAUGGCGGUUGCAGAGAAGAUGGGAGGAGCUGAGAGAAAGGCAAAGAAGAGGGAG